GAUGAAGAACGUAGCGAAAUGCGAUACGUAAUGUGAAUUGCAGAAUUCAGUGAAUCAUCGAAUCUUUGAACGCACAUUGCGCUCUCUGGUAUUCCGGAGAGCAUGCUUGUUUGAGUAUCAGUAAACACCUCAACUCCUUUAUUGUAGUUGGACUUGAGCUAUCCCAACAGGACUUUUUGUUCCUGGCGGGAGGCUUGAAAUGCAGGUGCAGCUGGACUUUCUUCUGAGCUAUAAGCAUAUUUAUUUAAUCCCUUAGCACGGAUUAUUACUUUUUUGCUGCAGCUAACAUAAAGGUUGAAUUUCCAUUGAGCUGACUGAUGCAGGAAUUUGGCAAGGAAUUUUUUUAAUGACUUGUUAAACUCGAUCUCAAAUCAAGUAAGACUACCCGCUGAACUUAAGCAUAUCAAUAAGCGGAGGA
rnacentral:misc_RNA from 1 species